rnacentral:lncRNA from 1 species
GCUAAUAAAAUUGCAUAUAUGUGACUUUACAUAAACAACACAACUGAAAAUGUACAGUGAAAUUACAGUUAAAAUAUUUAAUUGUUUAAAAACUGGUCUACAGGAAUCCAAGCGCCUUCUAAACGUCAUGGUACGAAUAAUUUUUUUUUGAAGAACAAGCACCUCAUUAAUUCGCGAACAAUUUCCCCAACAAACCAAGCAAUAUUGCAAAAUUGACUGUAAAUGAGCAAAAUAGUAAAGUUUUAAGAUAUCUAGGGAGACAAAAUUCCUAAGUUGCCAUAGAACAUAACAGUGCACAGACAAUCUUCCCACUACAUAAUCAACGUGAGAGCUCCAAGACAAAUUAGAAUCCAGUAGAAGACAGUUUGCUUUUUGUAC